AAAAUUCAAAGGCAGGCAAAAAUAACAAGAGCUGUCUCGUGACGAAUUACAGUGGUUUCGUCAAAUCACCGGUCCGUCAUACUUAAUUUAUAUAGUAAAUGAGAAGUGUUACCUACAUGUCAAGCAUAGAUCUGUCAUGUGAUUUUAGCCAAAAAAAAUACAAAGAAAAUAAGGAAAAUAGCUCUACAGAGCAAAAAAAAACAAACAAACUGAGGACUAUUUGUGUCCGCCAUUAUGCGACUAACAUUUCUAUUUAGUGUCUGUAUGUCAUGAGGCAAAAACCUGGCAUUUGAACCUAGGUGACUUGCAUUCUAAAGUAUCCUUGCUCUUUUAUCUCAAUGUAGGUUCUUUAGCAAUAUUAGAACAAUGGUCUUUCUUGAGAUUUAAGUAUAUUUAAAUUUUACAAAUGACCUGUAGAUACAUAUAAUUGAUAUACAAAUAUAUAACAAAUGUAUCCUGUAUUUUCAGAUCGACGCCGAUCUCAGCAUCCCACCUGUUCGCAGCAGAUCAACAUCCCCAGUCCGUGAACUGCUCAAUGCUACUUACGUAAUUCGAGACAGCGCACACUCUUCCAUGCCGGAGAUGGACCUACAGAGCACCUUCAUCGAAGACAUGCUAGUCCUUCGGCGUCAGCGGAAGAUCCUUCAGUCAACCGGUGCCACAUCUGGAUGAAUCCUUAAGAGAUCGCUCCCUUCACGAUUCAAUUCCAGAUGAUGUCCCAGUUACCUUCAACGUAGUGGAAACUGGUCAGUAGUGAUGGUUAUACAUAUACACGAAGGAAUGUUAAAGAUGGUCGCGUAUACUGGACAUGCAGCAUACGCAACAAGAACUUCAAGUGUAUGGCAAGUUUGAAGCAGUACGGGGACAUAUUCACGCCUAGUCUGAAUGGACACCAGCAUCCCGCUGAGCCUGGCGCUCUGAAGAAGGUGACAAUAGCAGCGAAGAUAUAUUUUUUUAUUAACAUAGGUAUAUUCAGUAUUCAUUCAAUUACUUAACGUAAUGCGGCUAUAAUUAACAGGAUGGUCAUGGAAAAAUCGUUUAUUCAAUGAUAGUUACUUAAUUUUUAUUGAAAAAGGUUUAUUUAUAUUCAAAUUGUACUUAACUCUAAACACGUUUAUUUCGCAAUUUCUUUUUUCAUUGCAGGUGAAGCAAGUUGCUCGGGAAAAUGUUUUCCGUCCUGCCGGUGAUAUUGUGGAGACCGUGAUGAAGAAUCUGAUAUCGGCAGAUGACGUCGCUCUACCGGAACCAGAUCUUCUAAUCAGGGCCGCCAAUCUUCAUCGGCAGAAUCUCCGACCAAAGGAUCCAACUACGUUGGGCUUUCGAGGUGCUGACCAGUCUACGUAGUAGGCUUGAACGCCCGCAGGUUGAAUGGUUCAUGCUGGACUUUGAAGCUGGUAAGUAGAAAAAUCGAUAUUAUAUAAUGUGAAAUAAUUAUACGAUUCUAUAAUACUUAAAUAACUUUCAUUAGACAACUAUUAUACAACUUUCAUAUAACAUUUAAUACAUAAUACAAUCAUUAUUCAUGUAGAAAUAUAUUAAUUUCUAUUAUAUUUUCAGCUGCCUGGCAGGCAUUAAGUUUUUCCGGGGUGUGUUUUGAAAGGAUGUGUGUUUCAUUGGAAUCAGCGGAUUUACCGUAAAAUCCAGUCCGUGGGUCUCGCCACUGCCUACCUUGAAAAAGAAUACAAGUGCAGGUUCUUACUGAAAUUGCUGAGUCUGCCAUACCUUCCUUCAGAGCAAAUUCCAGCGGCUUUCCAUAAAUUGUUUGUAUGCAAGUUUAUGUUGAAUGUUAACUUAUGUAUUAAAUAACGAUAAAUGUAACAUUAGUAUUUCUGUUUACUUUCAGGGUGGCACAGACGAAUCAACACCCGUGCUGGCCGGGCUGAUUCGGGGUUCUACCUGCUUGUGCCUUCGCACAGAGGCAGAGACGGUAGAUCUCCGAAUCAGGCUUGUAUCGGCCCAUCUACUGACGAGGUCAUCUAGACGAGGUUACACAGAGCACGCUACGCCAGACUCCAUAUUGCAUUGUGUAUUGAAUGUGUAUGUUCUAUUGCUUCCAAGAGUUGGCAUAUGUAUAAUAAUGUAUAUAAUUGUAUUGUGUAUUGACUAUGCUAUAAAUUGCUUCUUUUUCUUUUUCAGAGUUGACAUGUAUAUUAUAAUGUAUAAAAUUGUAUUGUGUAUUGAACGUGCUAUUGAUUGCUUCUUAUUUUCAGUGUUGAAUGUGUGUCUUUUGUGAGGAUGUAAAUAAAUGUAAAAAUAUAAAACGCUUUGUGUUUCUUCUGCAAAUACAUUUUGAUGAUAGUAUCGACUAAUUAGACCAGCGUGUAUGGCACGCCAAUUGUCCAAUAAUUACGUGAA
rnacentral:lncRNA from 1 species